GCUCCCAUAGUUAAACGGAUAGAAUGCAGCGUUGCGGUCGCUGAGAUCGAAGUUCAAUUCUUCGUGGGGGCG
rnacentral:tRNA from 1 species